rnacentral:misc_RNA from 1 species
CGUUUCGGUUCGGUUUGUCUUUUGGGGUUCUUCUCGCCUUCGAAAGCGCCGUCCUUCUUCAGUGUUUUCACAUUUUCACGUACAGUUCAAUCGUGAGGUUCAGCCUAGUGAGUUCUGUGUAGUUAAGUCGGAAUAUUUCGUAUAGUUCUCGUCGACUGUCGUCUGACAUUUGUUCUUCUAUUCCGAAACGCUGCAUUGAAAUACAAAAAUAAUACAAACUAGAAUAUUCAACAAAACAAAAAACCAAGGAAACGAAAAACCAAUUAAAAUUUUAACAAAAUAAUAACUCGCUUCAAAAUAUAUUGCAAAUAUAUCAACAAAUUUAAUCAAAUCAAAUUCACCAACAAAUCGAAAACAAACUCUAUUAAUUCGUUUACUCAAAAAUCCAAAAACACAAAACAACCAAAAACCGAUUCAAAUAUAUAACUGUUAAAUCUAAACGAGCAGGCGAUCUACUGGGAAGCGAGAGAGGAAGGGCAUCAGCAGCAGCACUACUACACGCGUGUGUGUUUAAAUACUGGAAAAUACAGAUAAGAUAAAUUAUUAUAGACACUCACGAGUACAUUUAGAGCAGACCAAACCCAGAGACAGACAACCGCAGAGAAUCAAAAGCACUCCAAGAGCAAAUCAAUAAAACAAAAACAAAACCCAAACAACAACAAAAAAAACAACAACAGAAACAACAGAAACAAAGAGAAAAAGCAACUCAAAAAACAAAAUUUUAAAAAAAGUGUUACCAAAAAAAACUUAAAAAAAAAAGAAAAUUAUUUAAAAGACAAAACCCGUACUCGUAACGGUGCAGACAACUGAAAAUACCCAGUGAAAAUUCAGAAAAGCGUUGACCAUUUUUUCUCGCAAAGGCGCCACGUCCAAGAGCAAAUCGUUCCAUAUGGUUCAUAUUAUUGAAUUGGUCGGCCAGCCGAAGGUUGAGUUUGCUCAACAAGUUACUAUGAACCGUGCUUUACAGCUGAAGCCAGCUGAAAAUGAAAGUCGCAGCGAGCAUCUAGAUCGCAAGCUCUUCGUUGGCAUGCUCAGCAAACAACAGACCGAAGACGAUGUUAGACAAAUCUUCCACCCGUUCGGCUCUAUAGAGGAGUGCACCAUAUUGCGGGGCCCGGACGGUACGAGCAAAGGCUGCGCAUUCGUCAAAUUCGGAACGCAACAGGAGGCUCAGUCAGCAAUAGCCAAUCUACACGGAAGUCAAACUAUGCCGGGUGCAUCCUCCAGCCUGGUCGUCAAAUACGCCGACACAGAGAAGGAACGACAAAUCAGGCGCAUGCAACAAAUGGCCGGUCAUAUGAACCUGCUGAAUCCGUUUGUCUUUAAUCAGUUCAGCCCGUACGGCGCCUACGCUCAGCAACAGCAGCAAGCCGCUCUGAUGGCUGCCGCUGCCACCGCGCCUGGCUCGGCAGCCGCCUACAUGAACCCCAUGGCCGCCCUGGCAACGCAAAUACCUCAUGGCUUGAACGGCACCGGACAGCCGCCCUCUUUGCCCUCGCCGACCAUGCCCAACUUCAGCAUGGGCGCCAACACGCCCAACGGCCAGCCCGGUGGAGCUGCCGCGGCUGCAGCAGCUGCUGCGGCGGACGGGGUCUUCACGAACGGCAUUCCACAAACGGCAUUCCCAGGACAUCCGCUGCAUUUGACUAUACCACCACAAGGUCUGCCAAACGGCGAUGCUGCUACUCUGCAACAUGCCUUCCCUGGGCUGCCACCGUUUCCAGGAGUUGAUUUUCUGAUGUUCCCAGGAUGCUCGAUAUCCGGUCCAGAGGGCUGCAAUCUCUUCAUCUACCAUUUGCCCCAAGAGUUUGGCGAUGCGGAGUUAAUGCAAAUGUUCCUGCCCUUUGGCAAUGUGAUCAGCUCCAAGGUCUUCAUCGAUCGUGCUACAAACCAGAGCAAAUGCUUCGGUUUCGUGUCCUUCGAUAAUCCAGCCAGCGCUCAAGCGGCCAUUCAGGCCAUGAAUGGCUUCCAGAUUGGCAUGAAAAGACUGAAAGUUCAAUUGAAGCGGCCAAAGGAUGCCAGUCGACCCUAUUAACAAUCGGAGUUCCUUAAGUGUAAUUCGCAACAACUACAACUACUUCCUGGAGCACCAACAACAGGAGUAGUCGCAGGAGCAGCCAUGCCACAAACUACAACACAAUUUGCAACAGCAGCAGCAGCAGCAGCAACAGCAUCCACAGCAACAGCAACAGCCACAGCAACAACCACAGUGCACCACUAUAGUCACAGAAGCAGCUUUAGGCCACCAUUUCCCAAUGACAACUCCACUCAUAUGCCGGUAUCAAUUCGCCAGCUGGCGCGAAAUGGUGACCUACUGCUAUCGCUAUAUAGUACCCCGCCAGAAACACUUCCUCCCCAGCCCCAAAAAGCAACCAACAACAGCAACAUCAGCAAGGACAACAACAACAGCACCAACCAACAACAACAGCACCAACAAACACCCACCAGCAGCACCACACCAAACAACAAUAGCAAGCACUGCAGGCAGCAGAAUGGACCGAUUCCCAUCCACAUCCAACUCAACCGGACAUGGCAUCCAAUAGCAACCAGAAGGAACUAUCCAAAGUGGAAUAAGUCGAAAAACUGUUCAAGUGGCAGCAACAAAAGCGAAAGACCUAAAGCCACCAGGACCCCACAAACAGCAACCAUGACAACUGCGACAACAAUAACGAGCGACUACUGAAAGGAUGGUCUUCACCAUGCUAAGUGAAAUGAUUAUAAAAAUUAAACACAUGCAAAAUCGGUGUGUAAAAAAACCUAAAAUAAUAGUAAACAACCAAA